AUUGAACGCUAGCGGCAGGCUUAACACAUGCAAGUCGAGGGGUAUAGUUCUUCGGAGCUAGAGACCGGCGCACGGGUGCGUAACGCGUAUGCAAUCUACCUUUUGCAGAGGGAUAGCCCAGAGAAAUUUGGAUUAAUACCUCAUGGUAUGUGAGAAUGGCAUCAUUUUCACAUUAAAGUCACAACGGCAAAAGAUGAGCAUGCGUCCCAUUAGCUAGUUGGUAAGGUAACGGCUUACCAAGGCAACGAUGGGUAGGGGUCCUGAGAGGGAGAUCCCCCACACUGGUACUGAGACACGGACCAGACUCCUACGGGAGGCAGCAGUGAGGAAUAUUGGACAAUGGGCGCAAGCCUGAUCCAGCCAUGCCGCGUGCAGGAUGACGGUCCUAUGGAUUGUAAACUGCUUUUGUACAGGAAGAAACACUGGUUCGUGAACCAGCUUGACGGUACUGUAAGAAUAAGGAUCGGCUAACUCCGUGCCAGCCGCCGCUGUAAGAC
rnacentral:rRNA from 1 species